GAAGAUGUGUGAUCAAUAGAAGAUGGAAAGUCACACACUGACCUCUUGGCUCAAUUCAAAGAAUACAUAUUUCAAAGCUGUGUGUUUUCAAUGUUCCAUGAAGCCUCAGUAGACUCUCUGUCUGAUUGGCCAGCACAAAUACCUCCAGAGGUGGCAGAAUGCAAUGGCUGCAUGGUCAAGAUGAUGAGCUCUGAUUGUGCAGGAGCAGGAAUAGGCCACAGUGCUUCAGAAGAGAAGAGAAAACCUCCCAUUUCCCCCUCUUAUUAUACAGCAAGUUGGAUUUCACAUAUUUAUCUAAGAUCUUCGUGUAAAAAAAAAAAUAAAAAUAAAUUUACUUGCAAUUUUCCAAUGAUGCAAAUGGAACAUUGUACUAAGGCCACGUCCACACUAAUACGUUUAAAAUUCAUUCACUUAGCUACAUUUACGCCUCUCAUCCUCACUAGAACACAAAAACACUCUCCAUUACUGCAUACUUUGGAAAACAAUGACGUUAGGAAACUGAAAAAAGAGUUUUCAAACUUUAAUGGAGAAGUGUGGACGUGGCCUAAAUUACUCUGACAGUGUUUCCUGCAGUGCAAAUCAGCAACAUGGCUGCCCUGCUACUGAAUCUACAGCCCAAAAUACACAGCAUGACCAGUUUACUCCAAUUCCCGAAGGGAUGACUGUUAUGAGCUGGCUCUUUUCAAUCUACAGCGCAAAACAUACAGCAGUAGUGCAGCUAGAUUCCCUAAAGAAUGACUCACAUGAGUUGGUUCAUUUAGUAAAAAAAAAAAAAAACACAAUUACACAUCGGAGUGGUUACUGAAUUAAUGAAGUAAGACACACAAGUUAUGACUGUCAUCAUGUCCUGUUCAAAAUAAAAAGAAAACUGUUACUGUGUUGUACUUAAGACUAAUCAACCACUGCCUGAUUACAGCUGUUACAGAUUGGUUGUUCAUAUGACAAUGUGUAGUUUAAGAUACACGUGAGUUCUGUUGUAAUCAGUGGAAUCUAAUAAAAGAAUA